AUGAACGCUGGCGGCGUGCCUAAUACAUGCAAGUCGAGCGAACAGAUGAGGAGCUUGCUCCUCUGACGUUAGCGGCGGACGGGUGAGUAACACGUGGAUAACCUACCUAUAAGACUGGGAUAACUUCGGGAAACCGGAGCUAAUACCGGAUAAUAUAUUGAACCGCAUGGUUCAAUAGUGAAAGACGGUUUUGCUGUCACUUAUAGGUGGAUCCGCGCCGCAUUAGCUAGUUGGUAAGGUAACGGCUUACCAAGGCAACGAUGCGUAGCCGACCUGAGAGGGUGAUCGGCCACACUGGAACUGAGACACGGUCCAGACUCCUACGGGAGGCAGCAGUAGGGAAUCUUCCGCAAUGGGCGAAAGCCUGACGGAGCAACGCCGCGUGAGUGAUGAAGGUCUUCGGAUCGUAAAACUCUGUUAUUAGGGAAGAACAAAUGUGUAAGUAACUAUGCACGUCUUGACGGUACCUAAUCAGAAAGCCACGGCUAACUACGUG
rnacentral:rRNA from 1 species